GCUGGGUGUGGUGCUGCAUUCCUGUAAUCCCAGUGACUUGGGAGGCUGAGGCAGGAGGAUUGAAAGUUCAAAGACAGCCUCAGCAAUGGGGAGGAGCUAAGUAACUCAGUGAGACCCUGUUUCAA
rnacentral:sRNA from 1 species